AUGAUGGACUAUAGGACAGGACUGCUGCUUUUUACUGUCUGCUGGGCAGGUGUUGAUGGUCAGACUCUGACAGAAUCUGAAGCAGUGGUUAAAAGUCCUGGAGAAUCCCACAGACUGACCUGUUCAGCCUCUGGAUUCACAUUCAGCAGCUUUGAUAUGAACUGGGUCAGACAGGCUGCAGGAAAAGGACUGGAGUGGAUCGCCUGGGUUGAACGUGAUAAUGACAGAAAAUUCUACUCUCAGUCAGUUACAGGCCGGUUCACCAUCUCCAGAGACAACAGCAGACAGCAGGUGUAUCUGCAGAUGAACAGUCUGAAGACUGAAGAUUCUGCUGUUCAUUAUUGUCCUUGA